CUUCAGACAAUCCAAGGUGUCCCUCCAAAUAUACAAAAAAGUGCAUGAGUGAAGGUUUGAAAUUCAGCUGCUUCAUCCUAAAUGACUACAUAACUUACAGGAGAUGUGUUGACGUGCAAAAGGACUGUGUUUCGUUGUGGCAAUAUUAUUGUGGAGGUCAAGGUUAUUUUGUGAAAUGCAAAUCAAAAGGGACGUGGUUAUGUGGAUGCGAGUGCUGCCACCGACCAACAAUGACUGGCUUUUGCAAGUACAGUUAAGAUGCCGUUCGCACAUUUCGUCCAAACAAGACAGCCAGACUUCAGUACAGUUCGCAACAAUAUAUGUGAUCAUCACGCG
rnacentral:lncRNA from 1 species